rnacentral:rRNA from 1 species
UACGUAGGGUGCAAGCGUUGUCCGGAAUUAUUGGGCGUAAAGAGCUCGUAGGCGGUUUGUCGCGUCUGCUGUGAAAACCCGAGGCUCAACCUCGGGCCUGCAGUGGGUACGGGCAGACUAGAGUGCGGUAGGGGAGAUUGGAAUUCCUGGUGUAGCGGUGGAAUGCGCAGAUAUCAGGAGGAACACCAAUGGCGAAGGCAGAUCUCUGGGCCGUAACUGACGCUGAGGAGCGAAAGCAUGGGGAGCGAACAGGAUUAGAACCGACCGAGUCA